rnacentral:rRNA from 1 species
GCGGGGGAUAACUCGAAGAAAUUCGAGCUAAUACCGCAUACGCCCCUCCUUCGUAGAGAUGGAGGGGAAAGUGGGGGACCUUCGGGCCUCGCACUAUUGGAUGAGCCUAUGUCGGAUUAGCUUGUUGGUGGGGUAAUGGCCUACCAAGGCGACGAUCCGUAGCUGGUCUGAGAGGAUGAUCAGCCACACUGGGACUGAGACACGGCCCAGACUCCUACGGGAGGCAGCAGGUGGGGAAUAUUGGACAAUGGGCGCAAGCCUGAUCCAGCAAUGCCGCGUGUGUGAAGAAGGCCUGCGGGUUGUAAAGCUACUUUUAGUACGGGAAAGAAAACGUCGGGGUUAACUACCCCCGGGCCUUGACGGUACCCGAAGAAUAAGCACCGGCUAACUCCGUG